rnacentral:pre_miRNA from 14 species
UUCUUUUGAAAGAACCCCGGAGCGGGGAGACCCUCACUCAAGUCUCAGGAUGAUGCAACCCCCCAAGAACUCAUGUGAAACU